rnacentral:rRNA from 1 species
UACGUAGGGUGCAAGCGUUGUCCGGAAUUAUUGGGCGUAAAGAGCUCGUAGGCGGUCUGUCGCGUCGGCUGUGAAAACCCGGGGCUCAACCCCGGGCCUGCAGUCGAUACGGGCAGACUAGAGUACGGCAGGGGAGACUGGAAUUCCUGGUGUAGCGGUGAAAUGCGCAGAUAUCAGGAGGAACACCGGUGGCGAAGGCGGGUCUCUGGGCCGAAACUGACGCUGAGGAGCGAAAGCGUGGGGAGCGAACAGG